UGCGGUGAGCAUAACAUGGUGGAAAUACUUAUUCCCAUUCCGAACAUAAAAGUCAAGCACCAUGUGCCCUUUUCUCCUUAUCGGUUUCUCGGGUUUGCCGCAC
rnacentral:rRNA from 1 species